rnacentral:lncRNA from 1 species
CCCCCUUGAAUUCUGCGCACGAUCGUCCUCAGAAAUCCUGACAUUUAAUGUGCGCAUGCCGGAGUCUUUUCAAAUCGGGACGAUCCGAAGAGACUUUUCAAAAUUCCCGCUGGAGCGCAGUCCCAAGUGCCACACCAUAAUGAUCCCGUCAGCAGUCAACCAUAUGCCACGGUGAGUGGGACACGUGGCGGGCAUUGGUCGGCCUAAGGAUAUCCGCCACCAUGACUG